rnacentral:rRNA from 1 species
GGCCGCGGGAAUUCGAUUCAGGCCUAACACAUGCAAGUCGAGCGGUAGAGAGAAGCUUGCUUCUCUUGAGAGAGGCGGACGGGUGAGUAAUGCCUAGGAAUCUGCCUGGUAGUGGGGGAUAACGUUCGGAAACGGACGCUAAUACCGCAUACGUCCUACGGGAGAAAGCAGGGGACCUUCGGGCCUUGCGCUAUCAGAUGAGCCUAGGUCGGAUUAGCUAGUUGGUGAGGUAAUGGCUCACCAAGGCGACGAUCCGUAACUGGUCUGAGAGGAUGAUCAGUCACACUGGAACGGAGACACGGUCCAGACUCCUACGGGAGGCAGCAGUGGGGAAUAUUGGACAAUGGGCGAAAGCCUGAUC